UUCCUACGGGGGGCUGCAGUGGGGAAUAUUGGGCAAUGGGCGAAAGCCUGACCCAGCGACGCCGCGUGGGUGAUGAAGGCCUUCGGGUUGUAAAACCCUGUCGUGUGGAAAGAACAGUUCCGCGGUGAAUAUCCGCGGAAUCUGACGGUACCACAGGAGGAAGCACCGGCUAACUCCGUGCCAGCAGCCGCGGUAAUACGGAGGGUGCAAGUGUUGUUCGGAAUUAUUGGGCGUAAAGGACGCGUAGGCGGUCAUGAAAGUCAGAUGUGGAAUCCUCCGGCUCAACUGGAGAAUUGCAUCUGAAACUUCAUGGCUGGAGUACAGGAGAGGGAAACGGAAUUCCCGGUGUAGUGGUGAAAUUCGUAGAUAUCGGGAGGAACACCAGUGGCGAAGGCGGUUUCCUGGCCUGAUACUGACGCUGAGGCGUGAAAGCGUGGGGAGCAAACAGGAUUAGAUACCCCGGUAGUCGAA
rnacentral:rRNA from 1 species